GAAGUCGCCGCCCGCGUCUGUCCAAACUUAGUCCCAAACUCAGGAGGUUCCUGUCCCAAGAAGCAAUGUAAAGUUUGAAACGAGCCGAGCGCGGUGGCUCACGCCUGUAAUCCCAGCACUUUGGGAGGCCGAGGCUGGCGAAUCAUUUGAGUAGAGACGGGGUUUCACCGUGUUAGCCGGGAUCCAUCUCCUGACUUCGUGAUCCGCCCGCUUCGGCCUCCCAAAGUGCUGAGAUUACAGACGUGAGCCACCGCGCCCUGCCUAUAUUAGGUUUUUAAAUAGCAGGAGGCAAAGCUUUUCGGUGUGAUCCUGACUUCACUUGGGGAAAAAGGGCAGACACAGGGUCUCACUGUGUUGGCCAGGCUGGAGUGCGGCAGUCUGGAACUCCUGGGCCCAAGUGAUCCUCCAAUCAGCCUCACAAAGCACUGGAAUUACAGAUGGAGUUUUGCUCUUGUUGCCCAGGCUGGAGUACAAUGGCGCAAUCUCGGCUCACUGCAACCUCCGCCUCCGGGUUCAAGUGAUUCUCCUGCCUCAGCCUCCUGAGUAGCUGGGAUUACAGGAGCCUACUACCACGGCCAGCUAAUUUUUUUGUAUUUUUAGUAGAGACGGGGCUUUACCAUGUUGGCCAGGCUGGUUUCAAACUCCUGACCUCAGGUGAUCCACCCGCCUCGGCCUCCCAAACUGCUGGGAUUAUAGGCAUGAGCCACCGUGCCCGGCCCAUAGAUUACUUUUAUAAUCAAGUUUUUCUUUACUUUUUAAAGAGUAAAUUCUCUCACCUCAGGUAGCUCAGAGAGCUGCGCUGGAGGAGAAAAGCCAGUCCUGGCAGGAGCUCUGGUACCUGGGAAGCUGGAUGGAGAGCCUGGGCCAGAAUCCCGGACCCCUCACCUCUGCGGCCUAGCUUUGUGACCUUGGCAAAUCCAUUCUAUGCACCUCCAUUUCCUGUACAGUGGGGAUCCUUAUUUCUCUGGCACAGAUUGGUAUUUGUUCUGUAAAGCCCAGUACCACUUUAUUUUAUUUUAGUUAUUGAUUUUUUUGAGACAGGGCCUCACUCUGUUGCCAAGGCUGGAAUGCAGUGGCGAGAUCAUAGCUCACUGCAGCCUCAAACUCCUGGGCUCAGGCCAUCCUCCUGCCUCGGCCUCCUGAGUAGCUGGGACGACAGGCGUGCACCACUGCGCCUAGCUCCAGUACCAUGUUUAAACGGUGCUCAGAAAACGUGCUAAACUUGGUGGAUGGGAAUUGAAAAGAGAUUUAAUGUUUUAAAAAUCAAAGUCACUCAGCUGCAGUGCCACAUGGGAAGGAGGCCUGGAUGUGAAUGUUCCUGGGAGCUGAGAGCUCCUGUGACUGUCGCCAGUUUCCUGUGGUCUCCCACAGACUCAGGACAUCUCCCUCUGCUCCAGGACACCUCAGGACCACCAGAGGGCACUCAUCGCACCUUCACCCCUGGAAGGGAGCUGGUCCUGGGGCCAAAACCCACUGUGCCUGGGAAGCCCUUCCUGGCUUCUGCUCUCCUCAAUGUAUGACAGCCCUGAUUUACCCCCAGGGACUGUUGCCACUCGGGGUUGUAGAGUAAUAUGUAACCAGACUGGAGAACCACAGCAAUGCUCUCUCCUCUGCCCAUCACCUCCCCUUGGCCCCUCCCUCUUCAUCAGCCCCAUUUUGGAGAAGGGAGAAAGAAGGGAGAGGCAGCAGUCUCCUCCCAGGUGGGGCCGGACUCCAGGGAAGGAGAAUUUUCAGAAGUUGCUGGAGUUGCCGAAUCUGUCAGGGCCCAGGGUUCACAGAGCAGUGAUGGAGGAGAAAGGAGAGGAAGCAGAUCUAAGCACACAUGGGCAUCAAACCAGAGGAACAAAGUCACAUGCAGAGGGCUGCACAUAGACACAGGGAAACACACACACGGAGAUGCACAGAAACACGCAGACCCCAUGCAGGGACCUGCUUUCCCGCCACAGAGGAAAGCAAUCUGAUCAAACAGACCCACUGUGCACCCAGCCCUCCAUGCUUGGGGACAACACACCUACAAAAAUAUAAGAAAAAAAAGGAAAACUGCUCUGCCUGGGAUGCCUUGCUUGACUUUUCUUGUAAAUAAGCAUUUGAAUGUGUUUUGUUCUAGGAGCUUUCGAGGCAGGCACAAAGGGAGCCCUUUCUCAUGCAGGAAGGUCCCUCUGCAACCUCCCCCUUCCCUCCCCUUCCUGCCAUCCGCCUACAGGCUGAGGUGGCUUUAUUUCUGGGACCCGAGUGUGGAUACCUCCUGUUUUAGAGAACCCUGAGAACCACUGUGCUAUUUCCAAGUUAAACUCCAGGCCGAGAUGAAAUUAGGCUUCUUUUUCUUUCUCUUUUUUUUUUUUUUUUUUGAGAUGGAGUCUCACUCUGUUGCCCAGGCUGGAAUGCAGUGGCACGAUCCCAGCUCACUGCAACCUCUGCCUCCUGGGUUCAAGCGAUUCUCCUGCCUCACCCUCCCGAGUAGUUGGGAUUACAGGCACCUGCCACCACACCCAGCUAAUUUUUGUAUUUUUAGUAGAGACGGGGUUUCACCAUGUUGGCCAGGCUGGUCUCGAACACCUGACCGCGUGAUCCGCUGGCCUCGGCCUCCCAAAGUGCUGAGAUUACAGGAGUGAGCCACCAUGCCUGGCCAGAUUGGUGAUUUUUUUUAAUCACCUGCAGCUCCCAGUCAUUCACAGGCCUCUGCCCCAUCCCCUGUCCAUAUGGAAGCUGAGAGGGCCGCAGGGAGGGGCCUGUCCAGUGUGGCCGCAGCUCUUCCCAGGAGGGAAUCCCUGUCAUCCAAAAGUUUUCUUUCCCCUCCUCUGGCCAUUCCAGGCUAAAGGAAUGAAAGCUCCCUCUCUCUAGGCUGGAAAACAGGUAAACGAUAUGUAAUUUAUGAGCACCAUCAGCCCAAAGUGCACAAGUCAUAUAUGCACAAAGGGGCCGGGUAAAUAUUUAAAGAUUAGAGCCAGCUGGGGAGAAACACAAAAGGCCAGGGCAAUGGGGGUCUUUCUGAAUUCACUCUCCCCGAGCUGGGCCAGGUCAGCAUUGAUGCACUCGCUGGAGUCCCGGCCUUUGUCCUCUGAAGGGCCCUUGUCUGCUGGGCUAUUGGGAGCCCCAACACAGCUAAAGAGAGUUAAACAAUCGCAGCCUCUCCAACCGCAUCUGGAGACAAUUGGCUGAGUCAUUUCAGAGCUUUUGCUGUGUGUCCCAAUAGUUAAUUACAUGGAGCAAUCACUUCAUUUCACUUUGAAAUGCAUCUGCAGAGGGGGACAACAGAUUUCUCCCUCGUCACCUGCAUCCACAGUAGCCUGUGCGGCACUCACCAGUUAGCACUGGUUGAAACCUCUGGAAGUACAGAAGGGAAGGGGCUGCCACACGGAGCCACACGGCUGUCCUCUGGGAUGGGCCGCAGGUAGGGCUCUUGUCCUGGGGCCCGAAAACCUCUCCCUACUCUUGGUUCCAGACCUGACAUAAUGUUCUUUUUUUUUUUUUUUUUUUUUUUUUUUUGUCAAACUCAAGAAAACCAAAUGAGGGGGGAAGGGGUGGCACAGACACUUGUCACUUUCUGCAUUAAAUUCCCCAACAUGAGACAGGAGGGGGCCCUGAGCAGCCUUGGAGGCUCUAAGAGCCCUCAGAAGUUAGAGAAGGAAGUUUUUUUCCUUGAAUGAGCAUAGGGGGGCCUGGGUCUCCCCACUUCUCCUCCUGGACCUGUGCUCCUUUCCAGGCCGCCUUGGGGACCCCAGAUGCUAAAGAUGGAAAGGGAAUUGGUGGCCUACAUCCCAGCUUGCGUAAGCCCCGCUUCUAAGUUGGUCCAUGCCCUUCCUGGCAGCCCGAGAGCACUUUGUCCUGCUUGCCCUCAGAGGAUAGGGUGAACCCACUGCCAUUCCCCCUCCAGCUCUGAAAAUACCUCCUGGUCUCUGUGAGCCCCUUUGGAGCCAGGCCUGCCUGAGGCUGUGCGAGGAUGCCCAGACUCAGGGCUUGUAAUCAGCGUGACAGGCUGGGGUGGAGGGUGGACCCCGAGUCUUCAGCCUGGGUUUCCGGGAAGGGUCCCUGUAGAGACUAGUCUGCUGUCUUUCCCAAUGACCUUGUCAGAUGCAAAGCACAAUGACUUUAACUUAGUAGGGGAAGUGGCUGCCCAGAGAUAGGAGCAAGAAGUGAGGGUAAAGUGGCGAUGGUGGGGAGAAACUCGGCUCAGAGCUCGGGAAAGGGGAGGGUGGAAAUCGCACCAAGAUCUCUCCCCACCUUGAUCCUGCGCGACCCUCGGCCAGUGUAAG
rnacentral:lncRNA from 1 species